ACAUUCCAACAUGCUCUCUCCUCUGGGAGUAGAUGAGGCCCAUUUGCUCUACUUUUCCGCUGCUGCUUUAUGAUACAAUGUUAUCAUGAUUUUGAAACAAUAUUUGUUUAUGCUGGCCUAAGAGGUCAUGCGAUUUUGUAAGUACAAUUAAGUUAUGGAUGAUACGAUGUAAUAAAGUACUUUAUGACUAUUGUAUCUUGGUAUUACAUCUUCAACUGUGUGUGCUACUGAGUCGAUCGAGGGACUAGCACAAAUAAGCGCACAGAUCGAACCCUAGUAAGGGGGAGGAUCGCUUCAAUCCUCUUGCUGGCGGGCAUUCAAGAUGCCGCACGCGUCGCCCCCUGGAACGGUGGGCGACGAGUUCGAGGACCCCUCCGGGCCCCCGUCUCCUUGGCCUCCCUGCGGAGGGGGAGCAUUCCUGUAACAUCCCAAAAUUUCAAACCUUUACAUGAGCAUUGCAUUCAUAAGCAUCAUGCCACAAUUGCAUAUUUGAAUUCAAAUUUUGAAUCUCAAAAGGCUUUGGAAAGAUUCUUUAUUUCAUUUUAAACCCUAGGGUUUACACCCAUUUGAGCUUUGGAUCUUCAAACCAUUAAAGUUUAUAUAUAAAAGAGGUUUAUUGCACAUAUGAGCUAUGCCAUAAUUUUUGGAUAAUUAUUUGGAGUUGAAAAAGUAUUUUAUUUAAUGGAUAUAUAGCCCUAGAGGCUUUUAUAGGGCAAAUGUAUUUAUAUAUAUUUUAUUUUGAGAAUAAACUACUUCCAAAAGUUGUAUCAUCGUAUAACAUGAUUUUACAAAUUUUCUGGGAUUUAUUUGGACCAAUUUGGAGUUCAAACUCAAAUGAUAUCAAAGAAAUGAGAAAAACAGAAAAAGAAAAGGCCUAAAAGAAAAAAAAAAGGGUAAACGGACCGGCCCGGCCGAAUUGGGCCGAACCGGCCCAACUCCCUCGCGCACGCCCCAGCCUAGCAGACCCAGCCGCCCGCGCGCGCGCGCGCCUGAGCCACCGACAGGUGGGGCCCACCUGUCGGGGUCGUCCCCUACCUCGGGGAAGCGCCCGAAAUCGCGCCGCCGUCCCCGCGCGUGACCGCUGCGCCAUCACCGGGAUCCGCCCCUCCAGACCUUCCCAAACCAAGCCGAGCGCGUCCUUAUAAGCACCGCGGCCCCCUCCUCGUUUUCCCUCUGCUCCCCCUCGCUAUCACGCCGCCAGGCUGCCCCGAUUCCUCGUCGAAAAGCUCCUCCGCCGCCGCCGUUCACCGCGCCGUCCCGACCUCGCCGGUGCGCAUUACC
rnacentral:lncRNA from 1 species